GUGGGGAAUAUUGCGCAAUGGACGAAAGUCUGACGCAGCAACGCCGCGUGAGUGAAGAAGGCUCUAGGGUUGUAAAGCUCUGUUGAAAGGGACGAAAAACCAUAAGUUAAUAGCUUAUGACUUGACGGUACCUUUUGAGGAAGCACCGGCUAACUCCGUGCCAGCAGCCGCGGUAAUACGGAGGGUGCAAGCGUUGUUCGGAAUUAUUGGGCGUAAAGGGGAGGCAGGUGGUCCUGUUUGUCGGGGGUGAAAUCCCGGGGCUUAACCCCGGACGUGCCUUCGAAACGGCAGGACUAGAGUUCUGGAGAGGGUAGUGGAAUUCCCGGUGUAGCGGUGAAAUGCGUAGAGAUCGGGAGGAACACCAGAGGCGAAGGCGGCUACCUGGACAGAUACUGACACUCAACUCCGAAAGCGUGGGUAGCAAACAGG
rnacentral:rRNA from 1 species